rnacentral:SRP_RNA from 1 species
GCCUGGUGGGCACAGUGGCAGACGCCUAGAGGCCCAGUUACUUGGGAGGCUGAGGCAGAAGUUUCACUUGAGUCUAGGAAUUCUGGGCUGUAGCGUGCUAUACCAAUCAUGUGUCCAUAAUAAAUUCGGCAUCAAUAUGGUGACCAUGUGGGAGCAGAGGACCACCAGGUUGCCUAAGAAUGGGUGAUGAACUGGCCCAGGUCAGAAAUGAAGCAGGUCAAAACCGCAGUGCUGGGGUAUGGUGGCUCACAUCUGUAAUCCCAGCACUUUAGGAGGCUGAGGCGGGAUGACUGCUUGAGGCCAAGAGUUCUAGACCAGCCUGGGCCACAUACUGAGACUCCAUCUCU